UACGUAGGGGGCAAGCGUUGUCCGGAUUUAUUGGGCGUAAAGAGCGUGUAGGCGGCUUUACAGGUCCGUUGUGAAAACUCGGAGCUCAACCUCGAGACGCCGGUGGAAACCGUAAAGCUAGAGUCCGGAAGAGGAGAGUGGAAUUCCUGGUGUAGCGGUGAAAUGCGCAGAUAUCAGGAGGAACACCCGUGGCGAAAGCGGCUCUCUGGGACGGUACUGACGCUGAGACGCGAAAAGCGUGGGGAGCAAACAGG
rnacentral:rRNA from 1 species